CGGGAGCGGGGCUCCGGGGGCCGGGCUCCGGGCUCCGGGGGCCGGGGCCAGGGUCCGGGCUCCGGGCUCCGGGCUCCGGGCUCCGGGCUCCGGGC
rnacentral:tRNA from 1 species